rnacentral:rRNA from 1 species
AUGUUUACUUCCAUUGUAGGUAACGUAUUUGGUUUCAAAGCCCUACGUGCUCUAAGUUUGGAGGAUCUACGAAUUCCCCCUACUUAUUCAAAAACUUUCCAAGGCCCGCCUCAUGGUAUCCAAGUUGAAAGACAUAAGUUGAACAAGUAUGGUCGUCCUUUAUUGGGAUGUACUAUUAAACCAAAAUUGGGAUUAUCCGCAAAAAAUUAUGGUAGAGCGUGUUAUGAGUGUCUACGUGGUGGACUUGAUUUUACCAAAGAUGAUGAAAACGUAAACUCACAACCAUUUAUGCGCUGGAGAGACCAUUUUGUCUUUUGUGCCGAAGCUAUUUAUAAAUCAUAG